rnacentral:rRNA from 1 species
ACGUAGGAGGCAAGCGUUGUCCGGAUUUACUGGGCGUAAAGCGCGCGCAGGCGGUACUCUAAGUACGGUGUGAAAUCUCCCUGCUCAACGGGGAGGGUGCACUGUAAACUGGAGAGCUAGAGGACGGUAGAGGGGGGUGGAAUUGCUGGUGUAGCGGUGAAAUGCGCAGAUAUCAGGAGGAACACCAAUGGCGAAGGCAGCUCGCUGGGACGGUACUGACGCUGAGGCGCGAAAGCGUGGGGAGCAAACAGGA